rnacentral:ncRNA from 1 species
GGAUUGGUAAAAAAGAGAAAAGGUUAGCGCUCCCAUUGACAAGGGAGGGAUCUCCUAAGACUUUGCUAAGACAUGUGCAUGCAUUUCACAUUCAAAUCUACAUGUCAGGCUUU